GGAAAUGAGACAGACCGGUUGUCGCUGCUUGAGUUCAGGAAGGCAACUCUCGACCCACUGCAGGCCCUCGUGUCCUGGAACGACAGCAUCCACUUCGCUUGCAAAUUGACUGGGAUGGUGUUGUUUGUCAAACAAAAAAAAUCCUCGGCUCUUUACCUUGAAGAUCAAGGUUUAGUUGGAAAAAUCUCCCCUUCGCUUGCAAAUCUAACGCUCCUCAAAGAUCUAUUCCUAGACUCAGAUAACUUCACAGGGAAGAUCCCUCCAUCUCUUGGACACUUGCAUCGCCUGCAACGCCUCGUGUUGAGUAAUAACACACUACAAGGAUUCAUACCUAGUUUUGCAAACUGUUCCAAUCUCAGGGAUCUAUUUCUAAAUCGCAAUAAUCUAGUAGGGCAAAUUCCUAUGGAUUUACCUCUCAACCUUGCAUUUCUGGACCUUCAAUUUAAUGAACUUACUGGAAUCGUUCCGGAUUACCUUGGCAAUAUGACAACACUAUUAGUAAUUCACUGUGUCUAUAAUAAUAUACAAGGCAACAUCCCCAAUGGCUUUGCAACGCUGCCCAGCCUACAAUACAUAAACAUGGCUAAAAAUAAGUUGGUGGGUAGGUUUCCACAAGCCAUCUGGAAUAUUUCUACUCUUGAUUCUCUUUGCCUUUCUUAUAAUUAUCUUACUGGAGAGGUGACAUCCAAUCUCGGUAAACAUCUACCUAAUCUUAAGGAACUCGUUUUAUCCGGUAACUUGUUUCAAGGGCAUAUACCCCUUUCAUUGAUAAAUGCUUCCAAGCUCUCCCUCAUUGAUAUAUCAAACAAUAAUUUCACUGGGGUAGUUCCUAGCUCCAUCGGCAAACUAACCAAAUUGUAUAAGUUAAAUUUGGAGGACAAUAAACUCGAAGCACAUAGUGAUCAAGACUGGGAGUUUAUGUAUAGCUUAGCCAAUUGCUCAGAACUACAAAUAUUUUCGAUCACUUCCAAUCGUCUAGAAGGCCACUUACCAGCUUCAUUAGGUAACCUUUCGAAUCAGCUUCAAGUUCUAUACCUGGGAGGAAAUAAAUUAUCAUGGAGUUUUCCCUCCGGCAUACAAAAUCUUGCCAACCUGACUAGAUUAGGAUUGUCAUGCAAUCAAUUUACAGGUGGGAUUCCUGAAUGGCUUGGAAGUAUCAAGAAGUUACAAACAAUAGGUUUACAUCACAAUGACUUUACAGGGUUUCUUCCAAUAUCUCUUUCGAAUUUAUCUUUACUAGGGAACCUCUUUCUCAACUCCAAUAAGUUUGGUGGUCUCAUACCCCCAGGCCUAGGAAACCUCCAAAUGCUUCAACAAUUAAACAUUUCCGACAACAAUCUUCAUGGUAGGGUGCCAAAGGAGAUCUUUAGAAUUCCGACAAUAUUAGCAGUUGAUCUAUCUUUCAACAACCUUGAUGGACAUCUUCCUACCGAGAUUGGCAAUUCCAGGCAGCUUGCAUAUUUUUCACUUUCAACAAAUAAGGUAUCCGGAGAUAUUCCGAACGCUUUGGGUAAUUGUGAAAGCUUGGAAGCCAUCUAUUUGGAUUCAUAUAUUUAGCGGUAGCAUCCCCACUUCAGUAGGCAACCUUCACAGCCUAAGUUUUGUCAAUUUUCUAACAAUAACUUGAAUGGGUCGAUACCAACCUCUCUCGGCAACCUGAAAUAUCUUGAGCAACUAGACUUGUCAUUUAACCAACUAGAGGGGGAGGUCCCAACAGAAGGAAUCUUCAAGAAUGUAACAAAUAUGCGAAUUGAUGGAGAUCAUGGGCUUUGUGGUGGGGUUUUUGAGUUACACCUACUGCCAUGCCCUGUUAUGCCUUCAAAGCCAACCAAUCACAAGGCCUUCGUUGUACUCGAAGUAGUGACCCAUGUGGUCAUUAUAGUCUCGGUUGCUAUGGUCAUNNNNNNNNNNNNNNNNNNNNNNNNNNAACAGAAGAGGAAAUCUUUAUUGUUGCCAUCAUUUGGUAGACAAUUUCCCAAAGUGUCUUUCAAUGAUAUUACUAGAGCAACACAGGGGUUCGCAACAUCCAGCAUAAUUGGAAGAGGGAGAUAUGGUUCUGUUUAUCAAGGAAAAUUAUUUCAAGAUGGAAGUGAUGUUGCCAUAAAAGUCUUCAGCCUAGAGACAAGGGGGUCACAGAAGAGCUUCAUCGCAGAAUGUAACGCCUUAAGAAAUGUGUGCCACCGUAAUCUCGUCCCUAUCUUAACUGCAUGCUCAAGCAUUGAUUCUAACGGGAAUGAUUUCAAAGCUCUAGUGUAUGAGUUCAUGCCUGGAGGGGACUUACAUAGACUACUAUACUCAACUCAAGACGAUGAGGGCUCUUCAGACCGGAGAUAUGUUAUUACAUUGGCUCAAAGGCUAAGCAUUGUGGUGGACGUAGCAGAUGCAUUGGAGUACCUACACCACAACAAUCAAAGAACAAUUGUUCAUUGCGAUAUGAAGCCUAGCAACAUUCUAUCGGAUGACAGUAUGACAGCUCAUGUUGGAGAUUUCGGCCUUUGCAAGGUUUAA
rnacentral:rRNA from 1 species